GUUCAGAUGUGAAAGACCCGGGGCGUCAACCUCGGAAUAGCAUUUGAAACUAGGCAGACUAGAGUACUGUAGAGGGGGGUAGGAAGUUUCAGGUGUAGCGGUGAAAUGCGUAGAGAUCUGAAGGAAUACCGGUGGCGAAGGCGGCCCCCUCGGACAGAUACUGACACUCAGAUGCGAAAGCGUGGGGAGCAAACAGGAUUAGAUACCCUGGUAG
rnacentral:rRNA from 1 species